AUGGCGGGCGUCGUGGCGGACGACGGCAUCUGGUCGCGCGCGCUGGUUCUGGCGGCCAUGGAGGGGCGGCUGGACGUCUGCCGGUGCCUCGUCGAGGACCUCCGCGUCGACGUCAACCAGCGCACCUUCUCAGGGUGAUACAGCUCUGGCAUUUCUGCAUCUUAUGGGACAGCUGCUAUCACAAAAUAUCUUCUAGAUCGUGGCGCUGAUCCAACUUUAGUUGGUGCCCUGUGGCCACCUCUUCAUGGCGCUGCAAUGAAUGGAGAAUGUGAAAUACUAGAACUGCUGCUUUCAGCUGGAAUUGAUGUGGAUUGUUUCGAUUCUGUGUACAGGACCCCAUUGCAUGCUGCCGCUGCUGUUGGUCAAGGUGGCGCGGUGAAUAUUUUGUUGGAGCAUCAUGCAGAUCCUAAUCAGAUUCUCAACCUUCAUAGCACCCCGCUAAAUCUGUCCAUACUUUCCAAAUCGCUGGAAUGUGUGAAGCUACUCAUUAAAGCUGGUGCUGAUGUGAAUAAAAUUGACCAUAGUGGUUAUACUUACCUGAUGGUAGCUGCGGACAUUGGCUUACCUGGUAUCAUGAAGUGCUUACUAGAUGCUGGUGCUAACCCCGAUAUUCCUGAUCCAUUUGGUACAACUGCAAUUGAAAUUGCUGCCCUCGGAGGCAGAAGGGAUAUGGUUGAGAUGUUAUUUCCUUUAGCUUCUACCAUUUCAACGUUGCCGGAUUGGAGUGUUGAUGGAAUUAUUUGUCAUGUGAAAUCAUGUGGUUUGAAGCCGAAGGAUAUACAUCUAUGUGUAAAGAAAAGAGCUGAACUGCAAUUGCAAGCUACAGAGUUUAAGAGAAAGGAAUAUAUGAUAGCGGCAGAGCUAUAUACUUGUGCAAUGAAUUUUGAGCCAAGUGCAGAAGAUCUUGCAAUCCUCCUAGCAAAUAGGAGUUUCUGUCUGCUGCGCUCGGGAAGAGGAAAAGACGCUCUCUCCGAUGCUACUAGGUGCACAAUGUUGCGACCUCGCUGGCCCAAAGGUUACUAUCGACUAGGGGCAGCCUUAAUGUUUCUAGAGGACUAUGAAGACGCGUCUCGGGCGUUUGCGGAUGGCUUGGAACUGGAUCCUGCAAAUGCUGUCAUUGCAAAUGCUCUAAGGUAA
rnacentral:rRNA from 1 species